GCGAGCGUAGCUCAGUUGGUUAGAGCGUCUGCCUGUGGCGCAGAAAGUCGUGGGUUCGAAUCCCAUCGUUCGCCCCA
rnacentral:tRNA from 1 species